rnacentral:tRNA from 1 species
CAGUGGUAGAGUAACACCAUGGUAAGGGGUAAGUCAUCGGUUCAAAUCCGAUAAAGGGCU